GACGAACGCUGGCGGCGUGCUUAACACAUGCAAGUCGAACGGAAAGGCCCUGCUUUUGUGGGGUGCUCGAGUGGCGAACGGGUGAGUAACACGUGAGUAACCUGCCCUUGACUUUGGGAUAACUUCAGGAAACUGGGGCUAAUACCGGAUAGGAGCUCCUGCUGCAUGGUGGGGGUUGGAAAGUUUCGGCGGUUGGGGAUGGACUCGCGGCUUAUCAGCUUGUUGGUGGGGUAGUGGCUUACCAAGGCUUUGACGGGUAGCCGGCCUGAGAGGGUGACCGGACACAUUGGGACUGAGAUAAGGCCCAGACUACUACGGGAGGCAGCAGUGGGGAAUAUUGCACAAUGGGCGGAAGCCUGAUGCAGCAACGCAGCGUGCGGGAUGACGGCCAGCGGGUUGUAAACCGCUUUCGCCUGUGACGAAGCGUGAGUGACGGUAAUGGGUAAAGAAGCACCGGCUAACUACGUG
rnacentral:rRNA from 1 species